rnacentral:rRNA from 1 species
CCUACGGGUGGCAGCAGUGGGGAAUAUUGCACAAUGGGGGACACCCUGAUGCAGCGACGCCGCGUGAGUGAAGAAGUAUUUAGGUAUGUAAAGCUCUAUCAGCAGGGACGAAAAAAGACGGUACCUAACUAAGUAGCCCCGGCUCACUACGUUCCAGCAGCCGCGGUAAUACGUAGGGGGCAAGCGUUAUCCGGAUUUACUGGGUGUAAAGGGAGUGUAGACGGGGCGGCAUGUCUGAAGUGAAAGGCAGGGGCUUAACCCAUGAACUGCUUGGGAAACUGGCAGGCUGGAGUGCCGGAGAGGCAGGCGGAAUGCCUAGUGUAGCGGUGAAAUGGGUAGAUAUUAGGAGGAAAACCAGGGGCGAAGGCGGCCUGCUGGACGGUGACUGACGCUGAGGCUCGAAAGCGUGGGGAGCAAACAGGAUUAGAUACCCCGGUAGUC